rnacentral:rRNA from 1 species
CCUACGGGAGGCAGCAGUGGGGAAUUUUGGACAAUGGGGGCAACCCUGAUCCAGCCAUGCCGCGUGAGUGAAGAAGGCCUUCGGGUUGUAAAGCUCUUUCGGCCGGGAAGAAAUCGCAUAGGCUAAUACCCUGUGUGGAUGACGGUACCGGAAUAAGAAGCACCGGCUAACUACGUGCCAGCAGCCGCGGUAAUACGUAGGGUGCGAGCGUUAAUCGGAAUUACUGGGCGUAAAGCGUGCGCAGGCGGUUUCGUAAGACAGAGGUGAAAUCCCCGGGCUCAACCUGGGAACUGCCUUUGUGACUGCGAGGCUAGAGUACGGCAGAGGGGGGUGGAAUUCCACGUGUAGCAGUGAAAUGCGUAGAGAUGUGGAGGAACACCGAUGGCGAAGGCAGCCCCCUGGGCCGAUACUGACGCUCAUGCACGAAAGCGUGGGUAGCAAACAGGAUUAGAUACCCUGGUAGUCCACGCCCUAAACGAUGUCAACUAGGUGUUGGGUGGGUAAAACCAUUUAGUACCGUAGCUAACGCGUGAAGUUGACCGCCUGGGGAGUACGGCCGCAAGGUUUAAAACUCAAAGUAAGUAGUUAGAGUGNGAGAGCGACGAGACGACGACGGAGGAGGAG